AAGUACCUUGGCAUGCAUCCAAAGAAGGGUCCAAAGUUGUUGUCGCUCCAUUGUUUCAGCCGCGCAACCAACCGUAUGGGCGUGUAAUUACUAAUGCCACGGUCCAGCUCUUGUUUUUGCAUAUAUCAAGUAUCUUCCUCGCCUUUGCUCCCUGCGCUCUUGUAGCACUACUAUCUACUGAUCGGGUGAAUGGAGGGAUUGGGAGAUGGUCAAGCGAGCAACAGAAGCCGGGGUUCCACCAUGAGCAUGGCUAGUAUUGAAGACGCGUUUGCCGGCAUCCGUUAUCUCUGCCGGCAAGGAUGUCCAUCCCAGCAGUGUUGCAGCACAAUAAUGGCCAGCAGUACCUUGAUCUGGCCAAGAGAUUAGUCCCUCUAACUAUGAAGCAGUUUCCAUGCUAAUUCCUUCGGUCGAGCACGGCAGGGCACCGGCUAUACAUGGAAUGCUACUCUGUUUAUACAAUACAAUGAAAGGCAAAUGGAUAUUCGCGGUAGCCGCACACCAGCGAUCAUCUUCUGCUCCGAACGGCGCCUAGAGGCUGUUUGUUGAUGUGCUUCGAGUAUUCUACCAUCCAGGAAUUGUGCAUGUGUCCGUCUUUUAGCAUGAUCAUUACUACUUUUUUGAUGCCUUUUACCACCGUCCGAAUAUUAAUCAGUGAGCUAGAGAACGACGCUUCUUUCUCUCUGAUUCAAUCUCAAAAUGGUGCGGAUGCAGACCAACUCAGGUAAGAAAUUUUUUAUCGGGCUCUAGUAGUUAAUACAUCUGGCUAUGCACCUGACAAUCUCUUUUGCCACAGCUCUGUUAUUGAACCUCAUGUGUCUAUGGGCAACGUCUUCACAACCAUCGACGAUGAACAUUUCGAGUGCUCCUUUCAACAGAUAAAUGUCAAUCGAGAUGUGUCUCACAGUAUGUUUUCACUUCAACGGAAAUGCUGACGACUAAAGAUCUUCAAGAAUAUCUAUUCA